rnacentral:lncRNA from 1 species
CCUAGCGAGCACUGGUGGUGAUGGUGGUGGUGGUGGUGGUGGUGGUUGUCGUGGCGGCGGCGGUGGUGGUGGUGGUGGAGGAGGUGGUGGUUGUGGGGUCAUUGAUCCUUUGUUGUUACCUUUGUGUGUGGGUGGUUAGCAGGGUCCUGAAAGUAUGUCUGUUUGUCUGUCUGUUCGCUUGCCAGUGUUUUUAAUGGUGGGGUGGCCGCCGUCAGCGCUCAGGGUGCUGUUCCCGGUGUCCCAUGCGACAGCGACUCGACACAUCUGUAUUGGGGUUGCAAUGAUACUUACAGUUUAAGGAAUAGAUGGACGAACGGAUUCAUUGGAUAGGCAGGUGGAUUGAGGAAAGUCAUGGCAUAGCGCAGCGCGGAAAAGCAUUGAGACACACCGCUCCAUUUUAUGCGGUGAAAGCACAGCGCCUUCAUCUCCGUGUUUGCGCGAUCCCGCCGCCCUUAGCAUUUAAAUAGGUUUCUUAAGGAGCCUUGAGGUCGAAUUGGGGUUUUCUCUAGGGGCCUAUUGGCCAGCCUUAGCAUUCCUCAGUUAAAGUCAGUUUGUUAGUUGCGUUGAUUGGUGUCCACGCAUUAUUGAAGUCCUACACGCACUGCGAGCAGCAGCUUACAACUCCAUGAAGUUGCCUCCAGCUCUCCAUGGGGCACCACCAGGCGGAAAACUAUUUUUAUCUUACAUUUUGAUCUACCCCAAAGCCGUUGAUAAAACGGUGUGGUAGUACGUGGUAGUGUGGUAGUACAUGAAGCAUCGAGGCGGGUCUUAAAAGGGGACUCGUCAGCAUGCAAAGCACCUUCACGUUUCGCUUGGGGAACGCUUACUGGUUCUGGCUGGCUGGUUGGCUGGCUGAGUGUGUGCCGGGUUGGGUUCAGAAGCUUUCCAGUCCAGUGCUGUCCAGUUUGUUUCCAUCGGCACAUGUAUUAAUGACGGGAAAAAGCGUCAGCAAUGAUGGCGUGGAACCUGCGAGGAAUACAAUUAUUAUUGCCCAGUCUUGUACUCACGCACACGCAUACCCUGCAUGGAUGCGCGCCUCUUUAUGAAGUCUACGGAAGCGACAAGCAGGGCCCAGUUGUGUUUUUUUUUGUUAUGCUAAAUUGCGAAGAGGCGAUGGUUGUAGCUUAUGUUGGUUGAUUGAUUGCAAAGCUCCGUUUGCGAUAAGCCUGCACGGGGUUAGAGUUGAGACCCAGCACGGGCUCUCAAAGCCGUCCAUAUACUGAGCAGCGUUGCUCGCAGCUCGCUAAUUAAUUAUUUAUGCACUACUUCCCCCUGUCGUGAGCUGCGUUUUAAAAUCAGAUCUUGGCGCGCGGUAGCUGGUUGACCGAGUAGCAGGUGCGAAGCGUGCUUAGAUAGAGGAAGCAUGGACAUGAUUGCAUCUGAUGUUGGGUUGCCUACGCCCUGAGCACUGGCUGCAGCGCGGAGAUUGGUAAAGUUUGAAAUGUUGGCGCGCCUGCGUGUGUGCGCCGCAAGGCGAAAGUUGAGGGCGCCAUGUUGCGGUUCUAUGGCUUUUCCGGCAUUUUGGACCCAUGUUUUUCAACAUUAUCGGCCCGGCACGGGUUCGUAAAGCAUAUGCACGAACUGUCCAAGUUGGCCCGAAUUAGCCUGGCCUCGGCCUAGGCUUUCGCACUCCUUUGCCAACAACCUGCGAACAUAUGUACCCGAGGAUUGUGCAUGUUUCGUUAUCACGAUCAAAAAUAUGAACCGAUUGAUCGCCAAGUGUCAAGCAUGUCAAGCAUAAUGUUUUGCGCAGUCGUACCUCACAUGGUAAUCGCGGCCUGUCUGCUUCCCUGACAGCUCGUCCGGUCCGUCCUGCAGCGGGCCGCGGGCACUUGGGUCACCCUGUAGAUGAGAGGUCGAGUCCGGUCCAGCUGCCCGCUAUUCUAAUCUCGGAAAGUCUAGGCAAAAUUUGCAUCGGGGAGACAACGACUCGAGCCGAAGGCAUACGCCUGUGUCCACAAAUAGCGAUACACGCAACACCGAUACACGCAGCCGAAAGCCCGACAUCGCCUCCCGCCGCCACCUGGGAAGGUCCCUGCGGGCCUGUAAAGCAAUAGCCAUUCAGACGAGACAGCUGCUCUUAUCCCGAUUCCGAUCAGCUCUGCGGUGCGCAGCAAUGCCCAUGUAGCGCGGCGCUCGGCAGCUGAGUGCAUCUGUGGCCCGCCCGAGCUGACCCCGGCAGUCCUCGGCAGCGAAACAUCUCCUCGUUGACACGUUGAAGCUCGCCACUACGACCACUGUAAUCAGUUACAAGUGGUGCUGCGGAACAAAG